AACGAACGCUGGCGGCAGGCCUAACACAUGCAAGUCGAGCGAAGCCUUCGGGCUUAGCGGCGGACGGGUGAGUAACGCGUGGGAACGUGCCCUUUGGUACGGAAUAGCCCCGGGAAACUGGGAGUAAUACCGUAUGUGGUCGAGAGACGAAAGAUUUAUCGCCAAAGGAUCGGCCCGCGUUGGAUUAGGUAGUUGGCGGGGUAAUGGCCUGCCAAGCCGACGAUCCAUAGCUGGUUUGAGAGGAUGAUCAGCCACACUGGGACUGAGACACGGCCCAGACUCCUACGGGAGGCAGCAGUGGGGAAUCUUAGACAAUGGGGGAAACCCUGAUCUAGCCAUGCCGCGUGAUCGAUGAAGGCCUUAGGGUUGUAAAGAUCUUUCAGUGGGGAAGAUAAUGACUGUACCCACAGAAGAAGCCCCGGCUAACUCCGUGCCAGCCGCCGCAGUAAAAC
rnacentral:rRNA from 1 species